AUACGGAGGAUGCGAGCGUUAUCCGGAUUUAUUGGGUUUAAAGGGAGCGCAGGCCGAAGGUUAAGCGUGACGUGAAAUGUAGCCGCUCAACGGCUGAACUGCGUCGCGAACUGGCUUUCUUGAGUGAGUUCGAUGUAGGCGGAAUUCGUGGUGUAGCGGUGAAAUGCUUAGAUAUCACGAAGAACUCCGAUUGCGAAGGCAGCCUACAAGGCCUUUACUGACGCUAAAGCUCGAAGGUGCGGGUAUCGAACAGGAUUAGAUACCCUGGUAGUCCGCACGGUAAACGAUGGAUGCCCGCUGUUCGCGAUAGACUGUGAGCGGCCAAGAGAAAUCGUUAAGCAUCCCACCUGGGGAGUACGCCGGCAACGGUGAAACUCAAAGGAAUUGACGGGG
rnacentral:rRNA from 1 species